GGGGAAAUAAGGGAAUGGCAGAUAGGUGGGGAAGAAGAGGAAAAAGGCAAGUAACUAAAACUAUGGACAAACUAUCUACGGACAUGUAAAAACUACAGAAACAACAGGAUUGACAUAUACAACAAAUACAUUGAUGCAGACAAGGAGGACAAACAACAACGGAGCACCGGCGGGCAUAUCAAAUGCAAUGCGAACAUUACGCUGUAUACCGGCCGACUCUGUUGUCCCCCUGUGUGUUUUUUAUUGGCUGGGUGUAAGUAUUGGCGUGCAUCGUGGGCAAUGAUGGUGUUGUUGAUGGCAAGCGGCUCUGGUCCGGCAGCCCACGUUGCAUCUGUCGCUGGUUGGUGUUGGCUGCUGCACUCGAGUGGCACUGGUCCGGCUACCCAACUGCAUUGUCGUUGGCAUUGGCAUCGAAAUGUAAUGCCAACGAAUUUGUGUUAUUGGCCGCAUCCGAGUGGCUGCUGGUCCGGCCACCAGGAUGCGGUGUCAGGUGGAUUGGCCUGGCCUCCUCGGCCACGUUCGUCAUCGGUUUUUAAUGGCGUUUUGAAUGGCUGCUGGUCCGGCCACCCAGAUGAGGACGUGUUUGCUUUGGCUUUGAUUUUAAUUUGUGUUUAUUUGCAGGUACUUGUCGGCGUUGGGAUGUUGUUGCUGGCGACCUUUGUCUGGUUGGUGUUGGCGUGAGAGACUUUUGCAGGCGAGUAUUUGUGUUUUUAUUGGCAGCCUUUUUUUCUGAUUCUCCUUCUUCUUUUGCAGGAUUUGCUGACGUCCGGCGGUUCAACACCGGGCCAUCCCGCCCUCACAUAAUUGGCAUGAGAGACGGGUGCGACCCAGUGGAGCGGCAACAGGCGCCAGCAUCUGCGUCGUCGUUUGGAAUGGCAGCUGUGAGCAGGUAUUUGCGUGACGUCAUUGUGAUGGUGUGGUGGCAGCGUCAUCAGAAAGGGGGCCUCAUAUUCCUCUUAU
rnacentral:sRNA from 15 species